rnacentral:rRNA from 1 species
GAAAGUAAGCAAGGGCGCAUGGCGGAUGCCUUGGCUCUCGGAGGCGAUGAAGGACGUGAUAAGCUGCGAUAAGCUUCGGGUAGGUGCAAAUAACCUUUGAUCCGAAGAUUUCCGAAUGGGACAACCCAACCGGUUGAAGAUCGGUUAUGCCAUUAUGUGGCAAGCUAACGCAGGGAACUGAAACAUCUUAGUACCUGUAGGAAAAGAAAAUAAAUAAUGAUUCCGUAAGUAGUGGCGAGCGAACGCGGAAUAGCCCAAACCAUUUAUGUUACGGCAUAAAUGGGGUUGUAGGACCACGUUGUGGGAUGAUAUUAAACGAGAAGAACAGUCUGGAAAGUCUGGUCGUAGACGGUGAUAACCCGGUAUUCGAAGUUUAAUUCACUCUAGUGGUAUCCUGAGUAGCGCGGAGCACGAGAAAUUCUGUGUGAAUCUGCCGGGACCAUCCGGUAAGGCUAAAUACUCCCGAGAGACCGAUAGUGAACCAGUACUGUGAAGGAAAGGUGAAAAGAACUUCGAAUAGAAGAGUGAAAUAGUUCCUGAAACCAUGCGCCUACAAGCGGUCGGAGCAGCUAUAUGCUGUGACGGCGUGCCUUUUGCAUAAUGAACCUACGAGUUACUUUUUCCGGCAAGGUUAAGGAUUUUGAAAUCUGCAGCCGAAGCGAAAGCGAGUCUUAAUAGGGCGAUUUAGUCGGAAGGAGUAGACGCGAAACCAAGUGAUCUACCCUUGGCCAGGUUGAAGGUUAGGUAACACUAACUGGAGGACCGAACCGAUAAGCGUUGAAAAGCUUCCGGAUGAGCUGAGGGUGGGGGUGAAAGGCUAAUCAAACUUGGAGAUAGCUCGUACUCCCCGAAAUGCAUUUAGGUGCAGCCUUGUUUAUUACUAAUGUGAGGUAGAGCGACUGAUUAGAUGCGAGGGCUUCACCGCCUAUCAAGUCUUGAUAAACUCCGAAUGCGCAUUAGUUUUAGAACAGGAGUGAGGGCGCGGGUGCUAAGGUCCGCGUCCGAGAGGAGAAGAAUCCAGACCAUCAGCUAAGGUCCCCAAAUAACCGCUGAGUUGAACUAACGAAGUCAGAUUGCUAAGACAGCUAGGAUGUUGGCUUGGAAGCAGCCAUUCAUUUAAAGAGUGCGUAACAGCUCACUAGUCGAGGAGUUUGGCGUGGAUAAUAAUCGGGCAUAAGCGGUUUACCGAAGCUAUGGAACCAGUAAUGGUUGGUAGGGGAGCAUUCCACUCUGCGUCGAAGAUGAAGCGUAAGCUUUGUUGGAGCGUGUGGAAAAGCAAAUGUAGGUAUAAGUAACGAUAAAGGGGGUGAGAAACCCCCUCGCCGAAAGACUAAGGUUUCCUGAUCAACGCUAAUCGGAUCAGGGUUAGUCGGGUCCUAAGACUCAGCCGAAUGGUGAUGUCGAUGGCAGAAAUGGUUAAUAUUCCAUUACUACCUUAAGGAGUGACGUGGAGACGGAGUAGUGACAGCGCCGCGGGCUGACGGAAUAGCCCGUUAAAGAGUGUAGAUGUUGAUCAUGGCAGGCAAAUCCGCCGUGAGAGUCGAACUUUAUAGUAUGGAGCGUCCUUGUGACAAUCCAAUAGUGCGUGUAAUCAGACUUCCAAGAAAAUCCGCUAAACUUAAUCCUUGAGGUACCCGUACCGUAAACGGACACACGUAGUCGGGUAGAAUAUACUAAGGCGCUUGAGUGAAUCACGGUUAAGGAACUAGGCAAAUUGACCCUGUAACUUCGGGAUAAAGGGUCCCUACCCAGUGAUGGGAGGGCGCAGAGAAUAGGUCCAGGCAACUGUUUAACAAAAACACAGGGCUGUGCAAAAUCGAAAGAUCAUGUAUACAGCCUGACACCUGCCCGGUGCUGGAAGGUUAAGAGGAGACGUCAUCGCAAGAGAAGCGUUGAAUUGAAGCCCCAGUAAACGGCGGCCGUAACUAUAACGGUCCUAAGGUAGCGAAAUUCCUUGUCGGGUAAGUUCCGACCUGCACGA